CGGAGGGUUAGCGUUGUUCGGAAUGACUGGGCGUAAAGCGCGCGUAGGCGGAUCAGGAAGUUGGGGUGAAAUCCCGGGCUCAACCCCGGAAUGGCCUUCAAAACUACCUGGUCUUGAGUUCGAGAGAGGUGAGUGGAAUUCCGAGUGUAGAGGUGAAAUUCGUAGAUAUUCGGAGGAACACCAGUGGCGAAGGCGGCUCACUGGCUCGACACUGACGCUGAGGUGCGAAAGCGUGGGGAGCAAACAGGAUU
rnacentral:rRNA from 1 species